rnacentral:lncRNA from 1 species
AACAGAUUCCCGUUUGGUCAACAGGACCCCAGGGACACCCUGGAAGCUGAGUUCCUGGCCAUGAUGGGAUCAGAGAGACUCCAGGAGUGCACCUAGCGGUCACAGAGAAGAAACCUUGUGAGAACACAGCUAGAAGGCGACUGUCUGUAAGCAGGAAGAAUGACCUCACCAGAAACCAGUUCUACCAAAAAACCUUGAUCUUGAAUGUCCAGGCUCCAGAACUGUGAGAAAAUUAACGUAUGCUCUUGAAGCUGCCCAACCUGUGGUAUUCUGUUAUGACUAUCCUAGAAGACUAAUACAAUUACUUAUCAACAUAGGCUGCCUUUCAGUAAUUAAG